GUUUCUGUAGCGCAUUGGAUAGCGCUUUGGACUUCAAAAAUCCAAAUGUUGUGGGUUCGAAUCUCACCUGGGAUU